rnacentral:lncRNA from 1 species
CUGCUUUGAUCCACAGAACGGCAUUAUCCUGGAAUCCUCGGAAUUCCGGUAGUUCCGAUGCAACCGCUGAUGGUAAUGUGGACUGCAAGGAUCUGGAGGCUCUGGCGGCGAAACGCCGACAGUGCAUAACA